AACGAACGCUGGCGGCAUGCCUAACACAUGCAAGUCGAACGAGACCUUCGGGUCUAGGUGCGCACGUGUGCGUAACGCGUGGGAACCUGCCCUUAGGUUCGGAAUAACUCCCCGAAGGGUGUGCUAAUACCGGUUAAUGUCUUCGGACCAAAGAUUUAUGGCUUUUGGAUGGGCCCGCGUUGGAUUCGCUGGUUGGUAGGGUAAAAGCCUACCAAGGCGACGAUCCAUAGCUGGUCUGAGAGGAGGAUCAGCCACACUGGGACUGAGACACGGACCAGAAUCGUACGGGAGGCAGCAGUGGGGAAUAUUGGACAAUGGGCGAAAGCCUGAUCCCGCAAUGCCGCGUGAGUGAUGAAGGCCUUAGGGUUGUAAAGCUCUUUUACCCGGGAUGAUAAUGACAGUACCGGGUGAAUAAGCUCCGGCUAACUACGUG
rnacentral:rRNA from 1 species